GUGAGUGUGGUGUAGUGGUUUGAACAUUAGACUAGGACUCUGGAGACCAGUGUUUAAUUCCUUGUUCUGAGA